rnacentral:lncRNA from 1 species
UAAAUAUCUGAAAUAGUUAAGGUAUACUCAAAUCACCACAAAUACUUAAAAUAAUUAUUGAUUUUGUAUCCAAAAAUUUUAAAUCAAGCCAAUUGAUAUGUUAAGCUUAGGUAUUCUGACAUAUGUUAUUUAAAUUUAUAGGAAAUAUAUUAUUUUAUUUAUAGAUUUUGAUAAAUUUAAAAUAUAUAAUGAUUUAAAACUUUAAAAAUAAUUUAAA